rnacentral:rRNA from 1 species
GACGAACGCUGGCGGCGUGCUUAACACAUGCAAGUCGAGCGGUAAGGCCCUUUCGGGGGUACACGAGCGGCGAACGGGUGAGUAACACGUGGGUGACCUGCCCUCAGCUCUGGGAUAAGCCUGGGAAACUGGGUCUAAUACCGGAUAUGACUCCAUGACGCAUGUUGUGGGGUGGAAAGCCUUGUGCGGCUGAGGAUGGGCCCGCGGCCUAUCAGCUUGUUGGUGGGGUGAUGGCCUACCAAGGCGACGACGGGUAGCCGGCCUGAGAGGGCGACCGGCCACACUGGGACUGAGACACGGCCCAGACUCCUACGGGAGGCAGCAGUGGGGAAUCUUGCGCAAUGGGCGAAAGCCUGACGCAGCGACGCCGCGUGAGGGAUGACGGCC